AGUGAUAUAUAAAACUAUAAAAAUAAGUUCAAUAUAUUGAACUUAUUCCAAAUAUUUAUUUAUUUUAAGACCAGAAAAGUGCAUUAAGUAAGCAAACAUUAACUUAUGCAAAGCAUACUUCAGUAAUAAACCAUUCUACGCUUUUAUCACAGCAGUUCACGGACAGGGCAUGAACAUAGAGGCUAAAACUAAAGAAAUCAUUCAGUCUAUUGUCCAUUUGCUCAUCUUGUGUGUCCUCCAUCAAACAGCGGCUCUCUGAAUCGGCCCCUGGUUCACAAUGGAUCCUCUAUCUUUGCUUUCCCUUCCAUCAUUUCUCCCUUGGACAAUAUUUACCUCAAGUGGCAACAAAUAGAUGUUUUUUUCAGCCACACAAAAAAAGCAGUGAAAAGGACCUUAUCUCUCGCUUCUAUUUCCCCCCAGUGAGCUUUUCAAUUAGGUAAUUACAGCCAUGUGAAAGGAGACCCGGCACUGAGCCCCAAUGCAUUGUGGGAGCACCUGUCCCCCAUAGACGCCAAUUACCUGGCACACGAACCGUCUCCAUUGUGCUGGCGCUCGAGGGGUCCGAGUCUGCAAACACAGCCAAUGUGGCGUCUGAUCAAUGGAAGAGCGGCGUCUGUGAAAACAGAUUUUCCUUUGAAAAAUUGAAUGGUGAAACGGCAGCAGACGGUUUUUCCCCAAGUACGUACUUCAGGGGUGGACACGCGACAGAAUCGGAAGAUGUGCGAUCUGGGGAAUCCACGCAAAUUCUGCGCAUCUCCUGAGGAUGUGUUGCUACAAGCAGGGGAAUACAGAUCCUGACAGAUGCCGAACACAAGACAGUCCUGACGCUCAAGGGGAUGCUAUCAACUGUCUAGAGGGCUUCGAGACACCUAGCAAGAUUAAUCAAUCAUGAUAGUGCAUGAAGUUGUUUUCAGAGACGCUCAAGCUGAGGUAAAUCCCGGGCUUCAGCACUGGCUACAUUAACAUAAUAUUGCUAUUUCUUUGGUAUAGCAGCAAUCAUUUCUUUGUAAAAUCUGAAUGAUUGAUGUUCGGUUGAGGAUGUCAAUUGAAAUCGCAGCCCUAUCAUCUCAGAUACCACUAGGGAAACUGGCCAAGAACAUUAUCAUAUUUUACGUUCUGUAAACAAGCUCUGCCUGAAGCACAAACCGGUGCCGACUGUUUUCCAGAAUCCAUUUAUAGACACUUCCACCUGCAGUACUUGAAAAAAGACCACGGUGGAUGACACUAGAGACAACAGAGUGAGGGAAAAAAACAUUGUCUGCCAACUGCAAAGUUGUUAGAGCAGGUUCAGUUCUCCACGGGAUUUGGUAAGCAUUCCUUUCUAAGGUGAAAUUUAGGAAUGGCUAUAUUUUCACAUGUUUGCGCAGACACUGAAAUUCACAAGUGACAACGUUCUGCAAUACUCUUAAUCAAUGAAGGUCAUUAAAUGUGUUCAGCAUGUUAGCUGCUAGCUCAAGCGUUUGGAAUGAUAGUGGGCUCAUUAUUCUUUAGACAUGUCAAUUUUUAUGAUUCAGGUUGUGGUUUUAUGUGUUUGAUUAUGGCGAGUUUUAAAUUACAAUAAUGAGUCGAUCAGCAUAAACGCAAAGGAGUUAAUCAUAUUGAGGAACAAAGGAUCUACGUUAAAUAAAUUAGUGUUCUGAAUUACAUAAAUAUAUCGUUAUUCCUUAAAUGUAUUUUUGUGUGUAUCAGGUUGUAGUUUUAUGUUGAACUAUGAUUAGCAUAAAUGCAAAAAUGUCAGUUGCUUCGAGGAACAAAAGAUGGAGUAAAUACAACACUUAAGCUUAUGUUAGGUGUUAACUCAAGGGUUUUAAAUAGCAGUGAACUCUUUUAUUUCUCAUGUAAAAAACUUUAUGAAUCAAAGUGCAGUUUUAUUUGUUUGAUCACAGAAAUAAAA